GCCACAGCUCAGUGGUAGAGCAUCUGUCUUGUAUGCAGAAGGUCCCAGGUUGAAUUCUCAGCAUCGCCA